rnacentral:rRNA from 1 species
CCUACGGGAGGCAGCAGUGAGGAAUAUUGGUCAAUGGGCGCGAGUCUGAACCAGCCAAGUAGCGUGAAGGAUGACUGCCCUACGGGUUGUAAACUUCUUUUAUCAGGGAAUAAAGUGUGGCACGUGUGCCUUUUUGUAUGUACUUUAUGAAUAAGGAUCGGCUAACUCCGUGCCAGCAGCCGCGGUAAUACGGAGGAUCCGAGCGUUAUCCGGAUUUAUUGGGUUUAAAGGGAGCGUAGGCGGUCGGUUAAGUUAGUGGUGAAAUCCCGAGGCUCAACCGCGGAAUUGCCUCUGAUACUGGCAGUCUAGAGAGCAGUAGAGGUAGGCGGAAUGUAUGGUGUAGCGGUGAAAUGCUUAGAGAUCACACAGAACUCCGAUUGCGAAGGCAGCUUACCAGGCUACUACUGACGUUGAGGCACGAAAGCGUGGGUAGCAAACAGGAUUAGAUACCCUUGUAGUC